rnacentral:ncRNA from 1 species
UGUUUAUCUCAGGGCAGGGUGAAAGUCCCUACCGGCGGUAACAUGAAAUGUUGAAUGAUCAUUUUAUGAAGCCCGCGAGCGCUUUGUUUGUCACUAUCCUUUUUUUAUUGCUUUUUUAGAUUAUCUAAAGUGAAGCAAUAAGGAUUAAAACAGAGGUCAGCAGAUCCAGUGUGAUUCUGGAGCCGACGGUGAUAGUCCGGAUGGGAGAGAAUAACA